AACGAACGCUGGCGGCAUGCCUAACACAUGCAAGUCGAAUGAACCCUUCGGGGUUAGUGGCGCACGGGUGCGUAACACGUGGGAAUCUGCCCUUUGCUUCGGAAUAACAGUUAGAAAUGACUGCUAAUACCGGAUAAUGUCGCAAGACCAAAGAUUUAUCGGCAAAGGAUGAGCCCGCGUAGGAUUAGCUUGUUGGUGGGGUAAUGGCCCACCAAGGCGACGAUCCUUAGCUGGUCUGAGAGGAUGAUCAGCCACACUGGGACUGAGACACGGCCCAGACUCCUACGGGAGGCAGCAGUGGGGCAUAUUGGACAAUGGGCGAAAGCCUGAUCCACCAAUGCCGCGUGAGUGAUGAAGGCCUUAGGGUUGUAAAGCUCUUUUACCAGGGAUGAUAAUGACAGUACCUGGAGAAUAAGCUCCGGCUAACUCCGUGCCAGCAGCCGCCGUAA
rnacentral:rRNA from 1 species